UACGUAGGGGACUAGCGUUGUUCGGAAUUACUGGGCGUAAAGCGCACGUAGGCGGAUUUGUAAGUCAGGGGUGAAAUCCCGGGGCUCAACCUCGGAACUGCCUUUGAUACUGCAAAUCUCGAGUCCGAUAGAGGUGGGUGGAAUUCCUAGUGUAGAGGUGAAAUUCGUAGAUAUUAGGAAGAACACCGGUGGCGAAGGCGGCCCACUGGAUCGUUACUGACGCUGAGGUGCGAAAGCGUGAGGAGCAAACAGG
rnacentral:rRNA from 1 species